GCUGCCUGCAAAAGUUUCACAUCCGCACACUGCACAGGUUACAGCUGACUGCAGUUCGUGACAUGUUCGUUUAAAGUAGGAGAUAUUGGGCUUUCUCGUCUUGAAUAAACUAACAAUGCUGUGCUUUUGGUUGUACCUUCGAAGAGAAGAAGAGAGGGACGCAGGAAGAAGAAGAAUAAUACGGCUGAUGAACAUCUGCAGAGCAUACUGGCAGAUUACAAAAGCAACUGCUUUGUGUAAAAAUCACUUUACUCCAGACCAGUUUGAACUGACAGACUUGGUGGAGUGGUAAAACGUAAACCAAAUGCUGUGCCAACCAUUUUUGGUGAUCGUAAAGCUCCUGCCGAGAGGAAACCUGUUGGCCUACUAGAGAAACGGACUGAGGAUACAGAGGUUGGAGAGCCUUCGAAUGUGACGAAUGACGUCAGUCCUGCAGCGAACUUGGACACGACAGAAGAUGAAGUCACCACCCUGAAGAACCUAGCUUCAGGCUGGAAUUGAAGCUUUCAAGAGAAAACUCACCCUCUCUCAGAAAAGGGAGAGAAGAGUGUCUUUAGAAAAAGACAGCCUCUUUGCGAGUCUGCACGGUUUAUUCGGUGCAGAUCAGUUUGUAGUAUGAGUGAAGGGGACACGUGAAGGUAGCAAAUGGUCAGUGGAAAGGGCUAAAAAUUCGACCACCUUGUAGUAGUAAGGGGUACAAAGUCCUGCUGGAAAAUAAAUUACCAUUUCCUUCAGAUAGAACCCCAAUAUGUUCGCUACAGAGCAUA